GUUGUUUGUGGAAACCAUUGCAAAAGAUGCCUACAUCUACGCCCAGCAAGGAAAGAGGAAAACCCUGCAGAGGAAAGAUCUCGACAAUGCCAUUGAAGCAGUAGAUGAAUUUGCCUUUCUGGAAGGUACGCUGGACUGAAGAGGGCAAUGAGGAAUCUCUGGAAGGAAAUAGAGCCCGGCCAAGCUCAAGAGGCGGAGGACAAUACCUUUGAGAAGACGGUGGGCCCCCAUCUGUCUUCCAGCCCACCGGGUCCAAAGUGGUCCUGAAAUGGGGGGGGGGCCUCUCCCCAUAUUUCUUUGUAUACCAUAGUGGUUUGUAUAAAGUUUAUGCACUCUCAAUACACACAUUU